rnacentral:rRNA from 1 species
GAUGAACGCUGGCGGCGUGCCUAAUACAUGCAAGUCGAGCGAACGGACGAGAAGCUUGCUUUUCUGAUGUUAGCGGCGGACGGGUGAGUAACACGUGGAUAACCUACCUAUAAGACUGGGAUAACUUCGGGAAACCGGAGCUAAUAUCGGAUAAUAUUUUGAACCGCAUGGUUCAAAAGUGAAAGACGGUCUUGCUGUCACUUAUAGAUGGAUCCGCGCUGCAUUAGCUAGUUGGUAAGGUAACGGCUUACCAAGGCAACGAUGCAUAGCCGACCUGAGAGGGUGAUCGGCCACACUGGAACUGAGACACGGUCCAGACUCCUACGGGAGGCAGCAGUGGGGAAUCUUCCGCAAUGGGCGAAAGCCUGACGGAGCAACGCCGCGUGAGUGAUGAAGGUCUUCGGAUCGUAAAACUCUGUUAUUAGGGAAGAACAUAUGUGUAAGUAACUGUGCACAUCUUGACGGUACCUAAUCAGAAAGCCACGGCUAACUACGUG